ensembl:lncRNA
AUGGGGUGCUAUGGGGUGCUAUGGGGUGGCACUGGGUGCUAUGGGGUGCCAUGAGGUGCCAUGGGGUGCUAUGGGGUGCUAUGGGGUGCCAUGGGUUACAAUGGGAUGCUAUGCGGUCCUAUAGGGUGCUAUGGGGCGCUAUGGGGCGCUAUGGGGCGCUAUGGGGCGCUAUGGGGCAUUAUGGGGCAUUAUGGGAUGGCACCGACCAGGUCCUGGUGGAACAGGACGUGCUGCUGCCCCGGAGCCAAAGGGAAGACGGUGGUGGGGGUGACGGAGCGCAGAUGCCAUAAAGUCAGAGCCGGACCCCCCCCGCACACCUGGGGGGGACAGAGGGGGUGGGACCAGCCCCAAAAAGACCCCAAAAACCCCAAAUCCAACCCAAAGACCCCAUAUCCC